CAGGAUACAGCAAAACACUUAUGCAAGUAACAUUCUUUGAAAUGUUUGCCUUUUUAUUCCCAAAACUAUUCACAGGAACUGGCUGUUUUAUUGGCCUUUGUAUGCUAAUGUAUAGAUCAUGCAUUACAAUUAUGUCAUUUUAGAGUCAUUUGAGUUGUAAUCUAUACAAUUUUCUACAGGCUACAGGGUAAUCCAUUUUGUGCAACGAUAGGAUCAACAGAAAACUACUG
rnacentral:misc_RNA from 1 species